UGCCAAAUUCCACAAACAAGACC
rnacentral:piRNA from 1 species